UACGGGAGGCAGCAGUGGGGAAUAUUGCACAAUGGGCGCAAGCCUGAUGCAGCCAUGUCGCGUGUAUGAAGAAGGCCUUCGGGUUGUAAAGUACUUUCAGUCGUGAGGAAGGUGUUAAGGUUAAUAACCUUAGCAAUUGACGUUAGCGACAGAAGAAGCACCGGCUAACUCCGUGCCAGCAGCCGCGGUAAUACGGAGGGUGCGAGCGUUAAUCGGAAUUACUGGGCGUAAAGGGCACGCAGGCGGUUAAUUAAGUUGGAUGUGAAAUCCCCGGGCUUAACCUGGGAAUGGCAUUCAAGACUGGUUAGCUAGAGUCUUGUAGAGGGGGUAGAAUUCCAUGUGUAGCGGUGAAAUGCGUAGAGAUGUGGAGGAAUACCGGUGGCGAAGGCGGCCCCUGGACAAAGACUGACGCUCAUGUGCGAAAGCGUGGGGAGCAAACGAGGAUUAGAUACC
rnacentral:rRNA from 1 species